AUAAAGGGUAUAUUAGUGGCCAUUUUGGUACGUGUUUAUGAUUAUAGUGACUAUAUCCACCCAAAAAUCAUUAUAGUUCUCUAUGCGUUCCAUGUCUACUUCUUACUUGAGCUCACUCUUGCCAUAAGUGCAGCCCUGGCUCGAACCAUGCUCGGCAUAGAGCUCGAACCACAGUUCAACGAACCCUACCUCUCCACUUCGCUUCAAGAUUUCUGGGGCAAGAGAUGGAACCUCAUGGUCACUCGCAUCCUACACCCUACCGUAUACGAACCCACACGCAACUUCUGUGCGCGUGUCAUUGGCAGAGAGUGGGCAACGCUCCCAG
rnacentral:misc_RNA from 1 species